GAGUUGCAGUUUACAAUAGGGCUCAUGCUCCUUUGAGAAUCUAAUGCCACUGCUGAUCAGACAGGAGGCGGAGCUCAGGCAGUAAUGUUCACUUGCCCUCUGCUCACUCCACCUGUUUGGCCUGGUUCCUAACAGGCACGGACCAGUAUGCGGCCCAGGCGUUGAGGAACCCCUGAUUUAAAGUACACAGAAGGAUGGAGGUUAGAAAUUCAAUAAGCUGCUUAUGAUGAUGGAGGCCAUGUUUCUCCAGCCAGCUACUCUGAUAUAUGGACAGUGCCUAGCACAAUGCCUGACAAAGAUGGUAUCCCACAAAAUAUGUUGGAGGCUUCAUGAACAUACAUUGAGAUUGACUGCAGAAUAUCUUGAUAUGUUGUCAACACUGAACUGAUUCUGAAACUGCAUGCUUCAUCCAUGAUAGAGAUUUGAAUAAAAAUCAGAAAAACAAGCUUUGGCAAUCAACAGCUUAAUAGAGUUCAUUUACUUGCAUAAUUCACUUUCACAGCAAAACACUUGGAAAGAUGUCAGGAAAUUUAAUUAGCAAUACUUUAUUAUAUAUCUGAGUUUCAGAUAGAUGGUACAAGUGUAUCACAUUAACAACAAAGACCAAGUGACCCAAAGGGAGUGUUCCUCCAACUAAAAUGAGAUAUUCUACAUAUUUUCUAUUUUGUGAUUUAUUAAAUGCAAUGACAUCUGCCCUAACUAGAAUCAGAAAAGAAGAAGGG
rnacentral:lncRNA from 1 species